rnacentral:tRNA from 1 species
AGACUUAGGUUCAAACUUUAAACCAAUGGCCUUCAGAGCCCUAAAUAAGAGCUCAGACUCUUAGUCUCUGCCN